GUGGUUCAACAAGCGCCGUA
rnacentral:miRNA from 1 species